ensembl:lncRNA
AUGUGUGAUGAUAAUUCGCCCAUGCCUGAGGAAGACAGAAACACAGCAGGAGCAGAAAGCUGCUUUAAGACACACUCUCCCAGCGCUACGGAGAAGGGACUGUGGAAGACCCUGUGGAUUUUCACUUCAGUCCCCCUCAAGCUCCCUGGGGUAAGGCCAGAGGGAUUGAACAUUGGCACCUCCUGGGAGCUGCCAAUCACCUGGCAGUCACCUCUUCUCACUCAGCAGAUGCUGCGUUAAGAAGCACAUCCCUCUCCCCCUCUUGACACUGUCUAUGCUCAGGUACCUGAGUACCCACAGACUUGGACAUUCCAUAAAAUCAAUAAAUGAAUAGUAGUGUAUCAGGCAUAUUACUGUGAUUUUAAAAAUGUGAGUGUUCAUAUUAUAAAGUGAAAGAAAACAAUCUAAAAAGACCACAUAGUGUAUGAUUCCAACUAUAUGACAUUCCAGAAAAGGCAAAACUCUGGAAAUAGUAAAAAGACCAGUGAUUUCCAGAGGUUAGUGGUGAGGGAAGCAGGAAUAGCAGAGCACAGAGGAUUUUUGGGGCAAAGAAAGCAUUCUGUGUGAUGCAGUGAUGAUAAAUCCAUGUCAUUAUCCAUUUGCCAAAACCCAUAGAAUGUACAACACCAAGAGUGAAUGCUAAUGUUAGCUGCAGACUUUGGGUGAUAAUGAGGUGUUAACACAGGUUUAUUGGUAGUUGCAGUGUUCCACUCUUGGUGGGAUGUGGACAGUAGGGAGAGCUAUGCACCUGUGCGGGCAGAGGGUAUAUGGGAACUCUUUGUACUUUCCAUGUGACUUUUCUAUGAACCUAGAACUGCUCAUUAAAAUAAAGCAUACAUUUUUAAACAUGAGCAUAGCACUCAAAGGAUGACGUUCGAAGGCCAGGAACCUUCGCCUUUCUGGUCUUUCACCUUGGCCACGCCUUGGCUGGGCCUCAGGCUGCUCACCUGGAUCUUCUGGAUAUUCUCUCUGUCCAGCCCGGUGGUCCCUGUGUAGUAAGAAGCAUUUGGAACUGUGGAGGGCUCUGGCUUGUUACAAGGCAGAUCCCUGCUGCCAGCACAAGCACUGGCCACAUGAAACGUAAGGUCUAGGAUGCAUAAUAUGGUAGCAUAAUAAUUU